UGAUUUGCAAAGUUAUCUGCCUUUUAGAAGCAAGGCUCUUUUCUGUGGUUUGCAGGGGUGCGUGGUGUGUUUUUGGCCCUUGGUUAGGUUUCAUGUAUCUCUUUGGGUUUCUUUUUUCGUGACUAUUCUCUUGCAACAUUUACUUAGUUGGAUCUCUUCCUUUAGUAGGGAUGAUUUUGUGGACUUGUUAUUUUUUUGUAUCUCCUUGUAUUCUUUCAUUUUGUCUCGAUGAAAGUUGUUGAUUUAUCAAAAAAAAAAAAAAAAAAAGUAUAUAUAUAUAUUGUUAUGUUUUCUUGAUGUUACAAUAUUUUUCCAUCUUUGUGUCAUUUGCGUUUCUUUGAGUUUUCUUUUCUCUAAAGGGUAAAAUGAUAGAAUGAAGAAUAGGGUUAAUUGCGCACUAUUAUGGGAUAAUUCACCUUUUAUCCUCACUUAUAAUGAACUCUAUAAAAUGGGUCUUUCCACUUUUGCAUUUGAUGGAUUAUCAUUCUAAUAAAAUAUUCACAAACUUGAUUCUUGAAAGAUUACUCCUUCAGGCUACCUAGGUUACAUAAUAUAGAUUUGAUUUAGCUUAUUUCCAAGCUUCUUAGUGGUCCUCUCUUUUGAAGCUUGUUUAGUGGUUCUUCGGUUGAAGACAUUUGUUGAAGUUGGGAAGCUUUUAUUUUCCUUUCUAAUGUUUUGUUAUCUAUGCCCUUCCUUGUUGCUUUUCUUUGGAUAUUAUUUUUGUACCGAGGUUUUCUGUUUCAGUUUGUUUGCUACUUUUUUAUUGUAUCUUGAGCAUUAGUCUCAAUUAUUUCUCUAAUAAUAACGAGAAGUUAUCCAUAUUGUUUCUCCUAAGAUAUAAGAUUUCUUUACCUGAAAUUGUAGCAUGUCGGUAGGUUCUGUUUUUUCACUUUUGGAGAACAAUAUUACGUGAAUUGAAAAUACAAUGUGCUAUAUAUAUUAGGCAGAUUUUCUUAAAAAUUUAUUGAUGAUUGAAGAUUUUAGUUAUUAUUCAUUAUGUUUUGAAGCGUUCAUUUCAUUUUCUCCACAUAAUGAACAACCCUUAAAAUCUUCAUUCAAUGUUACGUGAAUUGAACAUAUUCCCUCUAGCUUUUUCUCUUAGUUGGUUCAUUACCUUGUGGGUUUCAAUCCGCUUUGUUCUUUUUUUUUUUGUUUUUUCUUCUUUUUAAUAAUGUUUCCCUUUUAUUUGCACAAUAUAUUUCCUCUAAUUUUAUGCUAUGAAACUAAUUGAGCUCAUUUUGUGGGAAGGUUUACAAAAAUGGAACUUUGCACGUAGGUAAGUCCCAUAUCAUCUGAUCACUUUAGUAGGAUCUUGUAGUGAUGGAUGCCGCACCUUUCUUAUGUAAACCAUGAUGUAACUAGAAGAGUUUUCUAUUCGACUUUUUACUCAGGAAGUUCAAAACAGGCAUGUAAUCAGCAAGCGGUGCACACCUCUAAUUGCAUAGGUGAGGUCAUUUGGAUUGCUCGCCCAAUCAGUGGAAGGUACGUUGAACUCUUCUAUCAUAUUUGGUGAGGUGCCUACUGGCUAUUGAUUGACUUGGCUAACAUGCAUGCAUGUUUUGCUGGUUUAUGUACUAUUUAUUUUAUGAAAUACAAACUUACACAUCCUGAUCUUAUUAUUCUAGUUGAAAGACAACGUUAAACGCAAGAAGCUACCAAAUGUUGUAGGGUUAGGCAGGUUGUCCCAUGAGAUUAGUCGAAAUGCGUGUAAGCUGGCUCAGACACUCAUGAAUAUAAAAAGAAAAGACAACAUUGAACACAAGAAGCUACCAAAUUACUGGCCUUACAAAUAAAAUGGCAAGGGGAUUUGCAAGAGCCGUGAUAGAAGGAAUAGGGCAGUUGCUCCUAUUCUUAGAUGCAGUACCUAUCCUACGAUGCUGGAAAUACCAAUAACAAGACCACCCAUCAAUUUGAGAAGUUGAGUUGUGUCCAACUUCACAUUGUGCACCACCAUCUCCCCAAGAACCUUCCUAUAAAAUGAAGGACCAGCUUAUCUAACAUCUUUGUAACUUUGGUGGGAGCUUUAAACAAAGAUAAAUAAUAAGCAUGUGUUGACUACCCUUUGGAAUGAAGGCAAUCUUCCAAUCAAGGUUGUUAACUCAUGAAACAGAAAAUGUAUCAAAAUGAAAUUGAUAAAUACCAAUGAGAUAUAAAUAUCAUUGUUAUCUAUAUGGUGUGAUGAUCAAAAUGAGAAAUAGAAAAUGUAUCAAUUGGUGUUAGCUUUGCCGGCUUGAGGAGUGUUAGAGUGAUGAUCAAGGAGUUCCUUUUCCAUCUGCCCUUCAGUAACAAGGGAGGUUUUUUAUGGCAUGUUGGGGUAUGCACGGUUAUUUGGGAUAUUUGGGCCGUUUAGGGGUAGAGAGAGGGGGCAUAGUGAGAUUUGGUCUUUAGUUAGAUUUCACGUGUCUCUUUGGGCUUCAGUUUCGAAGAACUUUUGUAGAUUGUAUAGACAACAUUUUACUUAGUUGGUCCCCUUUCCUUUAUAAGGGUGGUUUUGUGGGCUGGUUUUUUUUGUAUGCCCUUGUAUUCUUUCAUUCUUUCUCAAUGAAAGUUGUUCUCAUAAAAACAAUCAAAUGAGAUAUAAAUCUAAAUAGCAAACUUUGAGAUAGAGAAAUAGGCAGUCAAACAUGAAAUAAUUCCCAAAAAAAUUUCAAAGAUAAAGCUUGUUUGGCUCGAAGUAAAUUAUGGGUUGGGUGACCUACCCGAAAUUAUCCUAAGAAGCAUGUGCGUGAAGACAAAGCACAUUGAGUGGACCUGAGUUGAUUUUUGGUUAGUCUUUCACUCCUAGAAGUAGUUGAAAAUACUGUAAAGUUGCAAGUUUGCAGGGAUGUAGGAGAAAAAGGGGGCCGUCAAGUGUUGAAUUCAUUUACCAAAUCCUUGGUUUGGAGUGCUGUAAAUGAUAUUAGGCUGGAAUUUCUCCUAGUAGGAUAUGGUUUGGAGAUGAAUCAAAGUUGAAGCUGGUAGGCAUGUGACAUCAGGGAGAGGUACAUGAAUCAAAACCACUUUUGAAUGAGAGGGAUCUCAAGAAUAUGCAAGUAUGGUUAAGAAAAACUUGAAAUAAUUUUUAUUUUUAAAUGUUACAUUUAGAAUAUGAUGACUUCAUGGAGAAGAAUUCAGUCAGCAACUACAACAAAAGCUUAAAAUUAGGCAAACAAAGGAGAUGACUUGCUAAUAUGUGAAUUCCAAAAGAAAAAUUUAAGCUAAACAGAACCAAACUGAAGAAAUCUAAAUACAAAGCAAAACAAAAUAUCUCUCUAAUAAGGAAUUCAUUCAAAUCUAAAGACUUGCAAGAAGAUGCAACUGGAAGCCUCGUAGCUAUCAUGCCAUAGUAGUCCAAAAACCAGAGGAGGCUCGUAAAAGCCUUUCAAAAUAUUAGCAUCAGCAGAGAGGCUUUACUUGCCACCCACAUGAAGAGAAAACCUAGGAAGACUGAAGAUGUACCAAAAUCUGGAAGAAUACACUUAAGGGUUGAAGAAUCAUAUUAGAAUAAGUCCACAAGUUUCUACUAUUGAGUUUAAAUGAUCUGGUAUUUCGUAAGAUUGGGGACAAGAGCGAGUUGCAAAAGGCAAAUUAGUAGAUUUUGGCUCUUCCUCGUAUUGAAACAGGACAUUGAGAUCUGUUUCUAGGGGGUCAAAGUUUUUAUCGCUCAAGCUUUGUUGACCUAUCCAAUUGCUCUACUUUGAAAGGAGAGUCAAAAGAAGACUGCCCUUCUUGCUAGAGUAAAUGAGAGGGGUUUUACUCGGAGAUCCCCUAAAAAAUUUUAACUUCGAAUUCGGCAUAGAGAAUUCAGAGUACUUAAACUGAGUAGGGCGAGGAUGAUGAAAAACUCACUUAGAUGAACGGGGUGGGGCUUGAAUUUGAGUGAAACUUACUCCCAACAAAUCUAGAUUAGCCUCUAAAGACAGCUUGUAGAUGUUGGAAUGGACUGGUGAUUGAGAGUGGGUACGUUUUUCCUCUUGCAAAUCAAGUACUUGAUCUUCAAUUAUCUGGGCUUCUAAGGGUUGUUUUGCCAAAAUCUUCUUUGGUUUUUUCUUUUGGAUGAAAUACUUCGGAAAGUGAGGGAAGAACUUAGACCAUUUCUUUUUUUUCGAGUUUGCUCUGGAACCUGACUUUGUUGAGGAAUGAAGAGGAGAAGAAGAGGAGAGGGAAACUAAGGAUGAAGGGUUGGGAUGACUGUGCUGAGAAUCUGCCGCGGACAUGGGAAGUAAAAUAUCUAUCUUUUAAAAAGUACCAGCCGAAUUAAUUUGAUAGUUUAAAUCUCAUUUAUUAAUAAUAAAUAAAGAGGCACAUCUCCGUUUCAAAAAAGAAUUUAUGAUGUUGAAACGGAUUUAUGAUGAUUUCAUUGUUACAAAGGAAAGAUUAUAUAAUGGCAUACAAAACAAGUUUUUUGAUCUAGCAUCUCGAGUGGUAAUAUAUAUGUAAUUUCCAAUUCAAUACUAUGAUUUGAAUUAUUUGCCCUUCAUUUUGAUUCGAAUUGCACAACACAACUAUAAGAUCACCACAGUUGGAACAAUUUCUGACUUAAUGUACUGCUUCAGUUUGUACACUGCCUUGCCCAAACUGUUUCCGAGAGUGAAAAAUGUGUUUGAGAAGGGUUUUCUUUUUCUUUUUUUAUUCUUUUAUUUUUUAAAAAAAUCAUGUUUGUGCUUCCGGUUCUGGUUGGUGUUUAUGGUAAAAAAGGAGUGGCAAGCUCUUCAAUAAGAGGCUUUUAGUGUUGGAUAUACUUGGAUCCCCUUAUUAGUUUCUUUUGAUGUAAAUUUUGUGCACCCUACGAUUUAUAAUUGUUGUGCCAAUUUAGAGUCCUUUUUGUAACUUUCUUGGCAUGGGGCUUUUGGAUUUCUUCCCCUCAUUGAAAUGGUCUUUCACUCAUUAUUUCUUUGAGAAUAAAUGGUCCAUACGUACCCAUCUCUACUGUUCCAUCUGUUCUAUUGCUAGAUACAAAUCUUGAAUUAGUAUUAUACUAUAACUAUAUUUAAUUUUUAAUAUUUCCAUGAAAUAUUUCAGGUCUUUUGGUAUUAUAAAGAGGUUUGAUCAAUAUUCCAGAAAGCACACUGUAAGUUGAUUCGUUUAACCUCUUCUAUAUCUUCUUUAUUGUAGAACGAUUGUCACUCUCUUUUAUGCUCUUGUAGAUCAUGUUUGAAGACGGCAAUGUUGAAUUUCUUGACAUGUCAAAAGAGGAUUGGGAAUUUGCAAGGCCUGUGAUAGAGUUGUAGGGUAUGCAAUACUUAAUUGAUAUAAUAUCGUUCCUUCUUUCAUACCUUCUGGGAACCAUAUUUUUCUUGGAGCAUGUUGAUUUAAUAACUGUAUAGGAAAUUGCAAAAAUUCCAUUCCUAAUGGAUGUAACCCAAAUUGUGCAGAGUUCAGCAUUAAUGUGAGAACUGUGCAUCAGGAAAUCAGCAAACUCAAGAUGGAAAGUUCGCUUACCUUUUGGGAAACUAAUGUCAGUCAGUUAGAUUAGGCAUCCUAGGGUUUGUCUUAGGUUGUAUACUAAGCAAAACUUCUAAUGCUCGACUUAUUGGUAGCUCAAAUUUGAAAACCAAUAUCCCUUGCGGGAAAAAUACAAAGGAAAAGGCAAAGAUGAUUGUAUUGUAUUGGAUUGGAUUCUUCCUCACAUGUUCGUGAGAAUGUUGUAUGAUAUGUAAUUUUGUUCUUUUACAUAAGAAAAAAGAAUAAGGACUCAAACAAAGCCGUUUCUAGUUUGUAUUCUUUGGAUGAUCAGCUUGGGAAUUAUUGUACUAAAAGUAGGAAAGUGGUACUUGUCAUAACGACUUUUGUAGAGUGAAUUGUAAAGGUUAAUGUGAAUCGAUGAUAUUUGUUAAUUCAUGCAUACUUUGGUGGGUAUGACGUAUAAUGCGUUUUCUAUUUUUGUGGAAUUUAAAAAUGAAAAGUAAAGGAAAUGAAAGAAAAAAAAAUGGUCGCACAUGAUCUGUAUUAAUCCAUGUUUUGCAAAGUUAGAAUAUUAUUUAAUAUUUGCUUCAAAAAGGUUUCGAAUUAUGGUUGCAAUUAUCGUCUAAAAAAUUUAAUUUAUUUUAGUAGUACGAUAAAUACUUCUUUGUCCACAGAGAAUUAUUUUAGAAAAAACCUAAUUUAUUUUAUAAAGUAUUUGAUAAAUAUUUUUGGUAACCACAAAGUAAAUUAAUUUAAAAAAGAAUACGUAGAUUGUUUUCAAAUGUAUUUAAUAAGCACCUCAUGCCUCAUUUUUUACUUGUUUUCUCUGAAUGUUGUGUUACAAGAAAUUUCAGAAAUAGCCUCUUUAAAUUUUUACUUUUCAAAACUAACGUGAUGAACAAGUAUGUUUUUCUUGGUACCGUGAAAAUUGACUCACUAAUCUAGUUAAGAACAACUAAGAUUUGGCAAAUAUGGAGAAUUUCGGUGGAUUGACGAAAUUUUAUAAAGUUUUUUAUUCUAUGAAUUUGGAUUUCCUCAGUGAAAUUUCAAGCAAAAUUAUGAGCAUUAAAUUGCAAGAUAUAUUUAUAUAUUUGCAACCGUCGCUUCAACUUCUUAAUUUUGCAUUUCUAGCAGAGCUACCCAAUUAACUACAGUACAAAAAAUCAAGGAAAACUCCACUACCUUUCGUUAUUAAAAUUAUAUCUGCUCUCUUUUUUUUUUUAAAAAAAAACAAUUACUACCACUACUACUUGAAUUUCUUCCUUUUUUUCUAACACUCAAAUUCUCGACCAAAGUCACUUAGUCAACGAGUUCAUUUUACUUUUUUGUUUCAAUGACUAAUUCAAACUACCAACUAUAUGAUAAAAUAAAUGGAAAUUGAAAGGCAACCAAGUAACUAAUUGACAAAAAAGAAAAAAAAAAGAAAAAAAAAAGAAAGUAAUCACAUGACAAUUUCAGAAACUACUAAUUAUAUACGAAACUAGAAGGUAAUCAAAUGAUACUUGGAAGUUGGAAGGUAAUGUAAUGACUAUCUUAAAAUGCUAACUAAAUUGAAAAAAAUCAAAUAUAGAAGAUAAUGAGAUGAUAAUAAAAAAAUAAUCAAACGACAAUAAUAUAUAUAUAUAUAUAUAUAUAUAUAUAUAUAUAUAUAUAUAUUUGUUUUGAAAUUAAGCGGUGUUUCUUGAACAAGACUAGAAAUUUCAGAGGCUCCUUCGACAACCUUUGUAGAAGAGCAACGGAAUAAGCUGCCCCUAUAUUCAUAGUCUUGUUUGGCAUCCUAUUAGCCUUGAAGUUCAGUCUCUCCUGAUAACUCCCUUCACGGAACAAGAAAGACUCCAUUUUCUCCUUUGAAAAGAACAAAGCUUCUGGUCUAGACAGUUUCACCAUUGAGUUUUACCAGAAGUUAUGAAACAUUUUCAAGCCAAAUAUUUUGGAGGUGUUCCAUGAUUUUUAGUAUAUGAAAAAAGUUGAGUGUCUUAUCCUGGUUCUACAAAUACGACUCACCUUGUAAUUAAUAUAAAUGGUUUUAUCAAAAUUGUUGAUAUAGAAGAAUGUGAGUGAGUGUACUCUAUACAAAAAGAUUCUAUAAAACCAAAGUGGAAGAUAUUUAAUCUGUUUUGUAAAUCUAUUAAUUGAAGAGAUUAAUAUUUUAUAGGAGGAUCACUUUUGACCUAUUCUUACUCCUGAACAAGUUGUGAACUUUCUACCUACGAGGGCUCAUUCUUUAAUUGGAAUGGGUGAGAGUGAUCCAAGCUGUCGACUCAUUGUGUUUACUAUUUUGGAAACUUAACCAAAUAAUAAACAUAUAAUUUUAGCAUAUGAAAUUUGUUGAAAAAAGUGAAAUAGAAUAGUGUUCUUUUAGCAGUUACUUUAGUUAACAACUAGAUAAAUAGAUGUGACUUGAUUCUGUGUUCUAUCAAAUAGUCUUGGAAUCUUAAGUUUACAUACUCUCCACCUCGAUCUAAUCGAAGUGUCUUUAUAAUUUUACCUAAUUGAUUCUCAACUUAGUCUUAUAUUCACUGAAUAUUUCAAGAUAAUCAGACUUGUGAUGUAUUAGGUAAACUUGACCAAAUCUUGAAUAAUCAUCAAGUAAACUGAUGAAGUAUUCAUACCCUCCUCGAGUUUUGACAUUCAUUGGUCCACAUAGGUCCGAAUGUAGGAGCUCUAAGGGUACUUUUGCUCUUAGACCUUUUCCAAUAAAAGAUCUCUUGGUCAUUUUCCCUUUAAGACAAGAUUCACAUUAAGAGAGUUAUCUUCUAACUAAUUUAGAAGUCCACUCUUAACUAAUCUCCCAAUUUCAUUAAGAUUUAUGUGACCAAGUCUUAAGUGCUAUAAAUAGACGUUAGAAGAAAUCAAUUGUCUUUUAUACUAAACAAUUAAGUAUUAAAGACAAGUUUUUGCUUUAGUUAGUCUUAACUAAUAUUAGUUGUUUAUAAGUAGAACAAAACUGAAUAUAUUAUCCUUUAGAAUUUCAAAAUACAAGAAAUAUAUAUUAAAUUUUUCGAGCUUUUGAGAAGCAUACAAAAACAUCUUUAAAUAUGAUAUAUAUGUUAAAACAACUUCAGAUCUCCCACUGUUUCAACCGAGACAACCUCUUAAGUUCCAAACUUUAAGGAUGAUCUCGUCUUCUAGAAGCUUUACAAGAACUAGUUUCCCGAAACGAGAAAUAAAUAUAACUAGUAACUUCUGAAUCUUGUAUUUAGAUUAAAGUAUAAUAUUCCACUAAGCACGUUUGAACAGUUAGUAAAUGAUAUUUACCUUGUGCUUCUUGCUCAGCUUUCUUCUCAGUAAGGUACUUUGGGCAAUUUCUUAGCCAAUGCACAUUUUGGUUGCAGUUGUAACAUUUACGUUUAGCAACUUUCUUUCCCAUAUUGUUCUUCAAAGUCUUCUCGUUCCCUUCUUCAUUUGUGAAGGUCCAACUCUAGUUUUAGAGGAAGAUCCUCCUACUAACAAUUCCUCUGUGGUAGCAACAUUUGCUUCCACUUCCUUUCCUUUACCCAAAGUAAAAGUUUGGAACCUUUGAAGCUCAUUCAGAAGGGUUGUCAAGUAAAACUCAGAAUGGUACCACCCAGUAGUUAGAUGUGAACUUUCGAGACCUUUGACAUUGUUCUAAGUUAGGUAGUUUCAAACCAAAAUUUAUCUAAUAAAUAUGAACCCACCACAUGCAAUUGGGUAAAAUUGAAGCAUGCUCUGGUACCACAUGAUAAAACUAAGACAUGCACAGUGGAAAAAGAAUCGAAUUUCUACCCUAAUUGCCAUAAUUAACAUGUAACCCUAAAACAAUCAAAUUAGGGUUUUAGGAAAUAUUACCUUUGAAGCUUUCAAAAAACUUCGAUACCUCCUUACCAAUUCAAAUCGAGACCACCACUAGCACUCAACUACUAUCAUCUAGACAAAGAAUCGGAUUGUGGGACCCAAUUUGGUGUAGAAAGUAAUGGAGAUAAAAGGGGAUUGGAAGGUAGAAGUUUUUUUCCUUGGUUGAGAUAUUGGAGAAUGAUAAAAAAAAAGAGGCAAAAGUUUUCAACUAUUUGAAACACCCCUAUUUAUAACAAUGCAUGUAAUUAAUUUGUCAAAUCUCAACACCUAAUGUUCCACUAACAAUUAGUGGAACUUAGUGGGCUAGGUGUCUACAUCUCAUAUAGUCACAUAUCCCACUAAGAGUUAGUGGGAUUAUCCAACAAAAUGUUGGAUUUUCUCACUAACUUAGUCCAAGGGUAAAAUGGUCAUUAGAUAUUUCAAGUCAAAAGUCGAACUUUGACUUUUCUAAGUCAAAAGUCAAUAUUUUGACUUUUUACCAUUUUGUCCGUCUUGACUAAUUCCAACCUCCCGAGCAUGAAUCCGCAUUCAUUUUUUCAAAAUUCAAAUCACAUUUGAAUAUAAGGCCGGUCAAAGUUUGACUUUUCAAAGUCAAAAGUCAACAUUUUGGUUUUUUACCAUUUUUGACCAAUUCCAUCAAUUCUGAGCUUCUUAGUAUGAAUCUGCAUUCAUACUUAUAAUAUGUAAAACAUAAAGCUCUAUUUCUAAUUAGAAGAUCAACGACUAUAUCACUAUAUUUGUCGGUUUCUCUUUCUUCUCCCAAUUUGAACAAUUUGACUUAUUUCAUCACAUUGUUCUAAGUUUAAUCCAUAUGAGCUAGCAGAGGAACCUAAUGGACCUAUAGAUCAUGGGCUCCAACGAUUCAAGAUUAACUAGCUAAACUCUUUUAAACCGAGUUAAUCAACAUUCGUUAACUAACGAGUCAUUUCACUAAAGUCCCGUAGUUGCACUCCCCUCACUAUAGAUAUAUUUGUGUCCAUUUGAUAAAACCAUAAUCAGUAAGUUAAUCCUUCACAGGUUGCUCGUAACCUUGGCUGGGUCAAAAUACCGUUUUACCCCCAAGAUUACAUCUUGCUCCUUAAGUCCCACUAAUCCACUAUUGAACAAUUGGUUUAAGGUUCAACCUAUAAACUUAAUCCCUCUCGGGCCAAUGAGAGGGUGGGGCCCCUUGUUCAAGACUUGGAUUCAGUGCUUAAGAGAAGCAACCUAUCUACUAACCCUAAAGCGGGUAGGAGUGAAUUCCAUCUUGUACCCUAUGUUCCCAGCUAUCCACCCGAUCUUACCCCUGAAAUGGGAGGCUUAUUGGGCCAACGCUGAUGAGCUGCCCUCACCUAUGCAGAUCUAAGGAUAAUCUCGUGUGAACAGGAGUUCAUAGUUAACUCAGGAUUAAGAUUAAGUUACCUAGGUCAUCAAUAAUCGAGAUAGUCAAUUUUAAACAGUAAACGAUGUUAUAACGUAAAAAAGACUAAUUCAUGGUUCAGUCUUAUGUAUACACUUUACAUAGGAUGCCCCCACUUUCAUGUCUCUACAUGAACGAUUCAGGAUCACCUCGUUUGUACUACAAAGUGGGCCGCAUCCAUAGUCUCUCUAAAUAAGGCGUCCAACCUUUAUUCAUAUAUUAUAGACUAUUUAGGUUAUAUACUCGAACUUGAUCCACGUUUAUGUUUACACAUAAAGUUCAAGUUUAUUCAAAAAUAGCCUUGGAACUUGAUUUAUUGGAUUUAAGAUUAUAAUAUUUAAUUUUCCAAUAACAACUUUAUUGAACAUAAUAUAAUUACAAACUACGAGUUUUAGGACAAAAAAUUCCAACACUUUGACCCUCUUUUCAAUGUUUUGGAACUGAACUAAAAAACUAAGUCUAGUGCAUCACCGUUCGACUUUUGUGGGUAAGAAAAUUCAAUAUUACUCAGAGUGAGACCACCAAGUAGUUAGAUGCAAACUUUUGAAACCUUCAACAUUGUUCUAAGUUGGGUAGUUUCUUUCUAGGCCAUAUCAUUGACCCUAUUUUCAACGUUUUUGGAUAGAACUAAAAAACUGAGUCUAGCGCAUCACAAUUUGGCUUUUAUGAGCAAGAAACUUUAAUAUUACUCAAAAUGAGACCACCCAAUAGUUAGAUGUGAACUUUCGAGACCUUUGACAUUGUUCUAAGUUUGGUAGUUUCUUUCUAGAUCGUAGCAUUGAUCCUUUUUUUUAACGUUUUGGUACGAAACUAAAAAUCUAAGUAUGGGGCAUCACUAUUCGGCUUUUGUGGGAAAAAAACUUUAAUAUCACUCAAAUUGAGACCACCCAGUAGUUAUAUUGGAACUUUUGAGACCUUUGGCAUUGUUCUAAGUUGGAUAGUUUCUUUCUAAGCCACAUGAUUGGCCUAUUUUUCAACUUUUUGGGACGGAACUAAAAAACUAAGUCUGGGGCAUCACUGUUUGACUUUUGUGGGGAAGAAACUUUAAUAUUACUCAAAAUGAGACCAUCCAGUAGUUAGAUAUGAACUUUUGAGACCUUUGACAUUGUUAUAAGUUGGAUAGUUUUUUUCUAAGCCAUAGUUGUCCCUUUUUUCAAUGUUUUGGGACGAAAAUAAAAAACUGAGUCUCAUCACCAUUCGACUUUUGUGGGCAAGAAACUUUAAUAUUACUCAAAAUGAGACCACCUAGUAGUUAGAUGUGAACUUUCAAGACCUUUGACAUUAUUCUAAGUUGGGUAGUUUAUUUCAAGGCCAUAGCGUUGAUCCUUUUUUCAACGUUUUGAGACGGAUUUAAAAACUGAGCUUGGAGCAUCGUUCGACUUUUAUGGGAAAAAAACUUUAAUAUUACUCAGAAUGAGACCACCCAGUAGUUAGAUGUGAACUUUUGAGACCUUUGACAUUAUUCUAAGUUGGGUAGUUUCUUUCUAGAACAUAGCAUUGGCCUUUUAUUCAACAUUUUGGGAUUGAACUAAAAAACUGAGUCUAGGGUAUCACUCGACUUUUAUGGACAAGAAACUUUAAUAUUACUUAGAAUGAGACCAUCCAGUAGUUAGAUGUGAACUUUCGAGUUCUUUGACAUUGUUUUAUGUUGGGUAGUUUCUUUCUAGGCCAUAGCAUUGACCCCUUUUUUCAACGUUUUGGGACGGAACUAAAAAACUGAGUCUGAGGCAUCAUCGUUUUGCUUUUGUGGGCAAGAUUGAAUAAGCUGAAACAUAACAUUGGGCUCACAAGCAUGACCACCAUGGAGAAGAUGAUUACGCUCCUUCCAGAUAAAAUAAAUCGUAGCACACCAAAGAACACACCACAACUUUCUCCUCACACCCUUACCAAUACCCUGAUAACCAAUCCAAGACAACUCAACUCCCCAACAACCCAAACCCACCUAUCACCAAUGCUAGGACACAGACUUACAACAUGAACCAUAUCCCAUAAAUUAAUCAAAUCCAAAGACACCUUCGACCAUCUCCAUUUCCCUUCCAAAUCAAUAAACUCAGAGAGCCUAACCUCCUGCCUACUCGUUGCAUCGUAAAGCACUCUCUCACCAACCUACUGAAGGAUAGGACCACCCUGCAACCAAGGAUCCAGUCACACUCUGCAACACCUACCAUCCUCCACCUCCAUCGAAUUAAUAGGUUGCAUAUGUGAGGUGGAAUGUUAUAGGUUAGUCUAAUGCAUUAUAAGCGUUAUAAAAUCAAGUAGACUUUUAAAAUCUAUAACAAAGUCAACUUGCAUGCUUACUUAGGUUAAACAUAUCAACCAAAUCGUUCAUAGAAUUAGGUUGAUAUCUUGUAAAAAUGUUUAUAAGAGGUUCUCACCUAAUUCAAGCUUGUCAAUAAGUCAGAUAAGAUGACUAAGGUUGGAGGUUCUUAAGUUGACAGUUUACGGAACAUCUGCUACAUGAAGAUCAUAAUCAGUUAUUGAGCCUAGUUAACCUAGUUCUAUGAACAUGAGUGAGGGAUGUGAGGUAAUGAAAUUGACUUAUCACCUAGACUCGUAGGUUAAAAUCUAGUAUAAUGGUUAUGUUGGAUGUUUCACCUAAAUUUAGGAUAUGUUUAAGUUAGCAUAAAUAAGAUCCUAUUUUUCUCACCUUUUAAAAAACAUCAUAGGACAUUUUAGCUUGAGAAAAGUAACAUAUUUUUAGCUCUAAUGUCCCUAAGAUUCAUGUCGUGAAGUUCAUGCAUGGCUUUCAGUUGUGCAUAGGAGUGGACUCCCUUCGAAGAGUGUUUGCAUGGAUCAAUAUCAAGGUGAAUAGGAGAAGUAGUUCAUAGUAAGUGGGUUAGGGAUAUGUGACAACACAUCCCAUGGUCUCUUCCAUCAGGUUGCACCGUGAUAUUCCUAUAAUGCGCCUACUUGUCUGCCCUAGAGCAACGUUUCCUUUGGAGGGUUGUAUUAUAGGAUUCAAAACACCGCAAUAUCCAAAUUUGGAUAGGGUCUCUUAGAUCAGUUUUUAUAUUGUCUUUCCACUUUCAGGAGCAUAAUGUUUCUUAUCUCUAAGAUUUGAAAAUGGAGGGUUACAGUUACAAGAAUUACUAAGUUGUUAGUAUAUUCUUGACCGAAGAAGCGAUAAUUAAGUGCUAUAGGAAUAUGAGAUAUUCAGGACUUAGCAUUUGGUCAAGAUUGUCUUGGUUCAAAGAAGGAGUAAUCGACUACCCCUCGAUAGAGGUUAUUCUAAACAUUUGAAAUAUUGUUGCAAAACACAAUAAUGAUAGGUAUAUUAUUAAUAUUUGCUAAAUUAAUCGGUUCUUAUAGAAAUAUAAUUUUUCACUAAAUAGAGUAUUUUUUUUAGCAUGAAUAGCUCAAUAGUACACUCUUAGCUUAUGAGAAACUUAACGAUGAUAAUUGCGACAAGGAAAUCAAACUUAAAUACAAUACUGGUUGUAGAUGAUUUAAAGUUUGUCUUAACUGAGGAACGUCCUCUAGCCCCUGCCUCAAAUGCUAAUCAAAAUGUUUGGAAAGCAUAUGAUCGAUGGGUAAAGGCCAAUCAAAAGGCUCGUGUCUAUAUUCUUGCCAACAUGUCUGAUGUUUUGGAAAAGUAACAUGAAUCCUUAACCACAGAUAAAGAGAUUAUGGAUUCAUCGAAGGAGAUGUUUAGUUAGCCUUAAUGGUCCCUCAGACACGAAGCAGUUAAACAUAUUUACACCAAGUGAAUGAAGGAAGGGACAUCUUAAUAAGGCAAUCCUAAUCCUCAAUCCAAAUAUCCAAGCUAUUAACGUAGCAAGAACCUUUAAAAUAAGAAACUAACACCUCCUUAUACUAAUUUAGAUCAACCAAGAGAAAAUUAGGACUCGAUUACCUCUUAGAUCAAAGAUCUAGAAGCAAGAUUUGGAAAUCUUGUUCUAAAUUGAGUCACUCCACAAUCAAACUUGAUCAAGGUUAUAUUGAAAGGCUCGCAUGCAUUCUAUCACAAGAACUGCAAAUUAAGGGAAAAAAUCUCUACAUGAGAUUUCAAAAUAGCAUUAAUCAAAAGUCUUGUUUUUACAAAUGGAAGGAUAAUGCAUUAUAUAGCAUUGUAAAGAUUCUAUCCUAAUUAAUGAAACUAUCUAAAGUCAAAAUAAAACAUUAACUAUGCUUACUAUCUUCCAGCAACUAAUUUCCAACCACCAUUUUUAAUUCUAAACUAUUAAUGGUAGUUACCCUAACUUGUCAAAUUAAAACAAAUGAAAAUACUAUUAAAAUGUGAUAUUAACUAAAUCAUGAUUUAUGUGAAUUGUACUUUUUGUGCUUUUUGUGGAAGACCUCAUGAUUUAGUUAAUAUCACAUUUUUUUUUUUUUUUGUAUUUUCAUUUGCUUUAAUUUAACAAGUUGGGGUAACUACCAUUUAUAGCUUAGAAUUAAAGAUGGUGGUUAGAAAUUAGUUGUUGGAAGAUAGAAAACAUAGUUAAUGUUUUAUUUUGAGUUUUGAUAUUUUCAUUUAUUAGAUAGGAUCUCUACAAGGCUAUAUAAUGCCUUUAUCCUUCAAUUUUUAUGAACAAGACUUUUGAUGAAUGAAAUUUGUAAUCUCAUUUUGAGAGUUUUUCCCUUAAUUUGCAAUUCUUGUGAUAGAAUGCAUGAGAACCAUUCAACCUAACCUUGAUCAAGUUUGAUUGUGGAGUACUGGCUCAAUUUAGAACAAGAUUUCCAAAUCUUGCUUCUAGAUCUUUGAUAUAAGAGGUAAUCUAAUCCUAACUUUCUCUUGGUUGAUCUAAACUAGUAUAAGGAGGUGUUAGUUUCUUAUUUCAAAUGUUCUUGCUACAUUAAUAGCUUGGAUCAUUGGAUUGAGGAUUAGGAUUGCCUUAUCAAAAAGGGUUCAAAAAUAUCUGACCUAUGUUACGAAUGUAUAGUACAAGACUGAUAUAAUAUUCUUUAAUGUUAUGGAUGUUUGAAGAAUCUUAUGAAAAGUUUCUAAACAUUUUAUAGCGCUAUGUUUUAAUGACUCCUAUGUUUGAAGUAAAAAGCAUUGAGCAUAACUAUUUGCAAAUUAUGUUUUGAAAGUAUCACUCAUUGGACAUUUUAACCUCACUCUUUCAAAAGGUUUUCUCACUUUCCAAGUAAAGAUCAUGUUGCCCUGAGCUAAGCUUAUUGCUGCCAUGUCGACCAGUCUCUUAAAAGAAAUUACAAGUUAUUAUAGUUAAGUAAUUUCGAGAAUGAUAAAGGUUGUAUAGAAAUCUAGAUAAGUUAAAUUUUUAUAAGUAACAUUAUGUCUUAAUAAAAAUUGUAAUGAGUUUGGUUGCACUUGCAUUUACUUAAUAAUAGAAUGAGAUUUAUGUUUCCGCUGCAUUUUAAAAGUUUAAAGGAAUAAGGUCAGAAGGUAUCAUCAAGAGGUAAGAGAUGGUAUCGGUUGACCUCACGUCGUCUCUUGGGUCAAUAGUAGGUGGUCCGAGAGGGGGUGUCACACUUGAACUUUUUUAGAGACAUAAAGUCUAUAGUAUACAUAUAUUAUCGUUUCCAUUUAACAAAUCUAUCACAUAAUCAUAUCCUCUUAGUGUAGAGGUUCUACAUGGUUGUUUAGAAGAUUAUUCCUUGUGCAAGCUCAUGUACAAUAAAGUGAAAAGGAUGCAGAUGGCAUUGGCAUCGUUGUCAUAACGAAAAUCCUCAAAAUGAUUGGCUUGAAUCAAAUCCAUUUGAUUUCACUAAUAUAUCCUUAAAUCAAACACAAAAAACAUUGAUUGGCCAUUUAAUUUCACUAGUAUAUCCAUAAAUCAAACACAAAAAACAUACAAAUCCAUCAUUAGAAAAAAAAACGGCAUGUUAAAAACAAAAUAAAACCAUUAAGGCAAACAUACAAAAUCCAUGUUUAAGCUAAUAUUAUAAAGUAAAUGACAUAAUCCUAAAAUAUUCAACAUCUAGAGACUAUUUAUGAAAUCUCUCUUCCUUGAAUCGGACAUUUGCAAAAAUACCUUUCUCCAAGAAAGAUCUUUGUGCAAGAGUUUCAGUAUUUUGGAAUAAGCCUCUCCAUCAACAUCCUCCAUUGUAUUUAAAAUGUUCAAACAUUCCAUCAAGUCUUCAUCGAGAUCAUCUUUUUUGCGUGAUAUUUGGCUCUCAUCAACUUGACUAGAUAUACAACCAAAAAUACUUUUCUCAAGGACGUCAUUUUUCUCUUCGCAUUCUCAGCAUAUACAUCGAUGAAUGUAGAAAAUAAAGUGUCAAACUCGUCUUUCUUUCUUCGAACUCGUUUUUUGCUUUUUUCUUUAUCAUUUUCUUGAUCACCGAAGUUUGUAUUAUUUGCAACAUCAUUUUUCUUUUCGUCUUCAAAAUCUGAAAUAAGCUUGUCUUGGUGAUGAAUAAGCAUUUACACUUGUUGCACUAGUAUCUCCAAAAAUCCUCACAAGCUUUUCAUAAUGUGGGCAACCACUUUCUUAAACUUUUUAGCUCAUUUAUUCACCUAUAGACGUUAUUUCUUUUUAGCUUUCUUCUUCGCCUAUAGAUGGUUAGAAAUGAAAAAAAAAUGAAAGUAUUAUACCUUAAAAAGUUCGUUCCAUUGCUCCUCCUCAAGAAUGAUAGUGCCUAAUAAUGGAUCCCAACCAUUUUCGGUCAUAUCACUCAAUAUCUUUUUAAAGUCGUUGUAGAUUUGUCUUAAUUUAUUUAACUUGUUUUUCAAUUGAUCAUGAGAAUAAUUAUAUCUUGUACUAGCAUUUAGUUGGCUUCUCAUAUAAUUUCAAUUAGUCUUUGUAAAUGUUGUUAUUGAUCAAUUGUCAUUUGCAACCUCUUCAUCCAUUAAGUCUACAAAUAAAGUUUCACUAAUGGAUUAAUUUUAAAGAAUGUAAUAUUAAUUCUACAACUAGUCUUUCUAAGAUUUUGGCUGAUAGGCUCCGUGUGUGGCUACCUUCUUUUGUUAGUGGUAAUCAGUUUGCCUUUAUUACUAGGAAGAGUAUUAUUGAUAACAUACUUCUUUGUCAGGAGUUGGUUGAUGGUUAUCGUACUAACUAUGGUAAGCCUCGGUGUACUAUGAAAGUUGAUUUUCAAAAAGCUUAUAAUUCUGUUAACUGGGACUUUCUUUUCGACUUGUUGACGACUAUUGGCACCCCCUUGAGGUUUGUGAGUUGGUUGAGAGCUUGUGUUACCUCUCAGAUGUUCUCCAUUAUGAUUAAUGGCUCUUUGGAGGGUUUUUUUUCAUGAAAGAAAAGGUUUGAGGCAGAGUGAUCCUUUAUCUCCUUUCCUUUUUGUGAUGGUUAGAUUUUGUCUCGUAUGUUAAAUCGGCCUCCUCAGAGCACCAUCACUGUGAGAAUGUUAGUUUAACACAUCUGACCUUCGCAGAUGAUCUUUUGAUAUUUUGUGCAGCUUAUGAGUCCUCUUUGAAUUUUAUCAACGAGACUCUUUGGAAGUUUAGUGAACUCUCAAGGCUGUUUGCAAAUCUUGAAAAAAGUUAUAUUUUUGUUAUGGAGGUUAAUAGUGAGGAAGCUUCUCGUUUAGCUGCUAGUUUGAGUUUAACCUUGAUGCUUUGGAGAAAAAAAAUGGACAAUACUUCCCAUUGAUAUUUCAAUUGAUUUUGUUGGUUGAGAUUCUACUUAUGGAACAACGUGCUUGACCAUACGUCAUUUACUCAUAAUAACCAUAUAUAUAGAUUAAAAAAUGUUUGGCUCUUAAUACCCAACUGUGUUAAUUACUCCACUUAAAUUUAUACUCAGUACAAAUAUAACUUUAACAAAGACCCAAAAUGUCUCAAAAUAAAAUGUUUCAUCUAUUAAAACAACCUAAAGAAAAACAGAGGUUGAAAUAUCAAUCAUAAUACCAAGAAAAAAGAAGAGAAUGUGGAGGCGACAAUCAUUAUUCCAGUGUUCAUCCCCUAAGUGUAAAUUGAUUGGGAUGUUCAGUCUUAAUCCUUAUCCUUUUUUCUUUCCAUUCUUUCGACUGAGGAGUAUGAAAAUCAAAGGAAAUUUAUAUACACAUAAAAUAUUGUUCACAAACAGACAGAGGCGACGAUCAUUAUUUCUACAUGUUUGCGUUUUCCACUAUCAUUUUUUCUUUUUUCUUUUCUUUUUUUUAAUAUAAGGGAAGUGUGAGAUAUUGCUCAAUUAUUCUGCUUAAACAGCACAGAAACAUGAAGAAAUAACGAUUUAUUUAUUGCAAGGGACAAGUUUACUCAAACACCCACUUUAUCAAACCUUACACAUGAAGUUCUUCUUGUAAGAACUAUAUUCAGAUUGAGAUUUGAAAGAUAGAACCGGCGAGUAGGAAUACGACCGAAACCCACAACGAAGAGGAUGAUAAAAAUCCACGACGAAAACACAAAUAUGGCAAAAAUCCAAUACGCGCGAAGAGAGAGAGAAAAAUCCAGAUCCAACUCAAGCUUCAUGAGAAAGACAAUGAGAGGCAAAGAAGAAGAAGACUACGAACCAUGAGAGGAAGAGGUUGACUGAUUUGGGGAAGACAAUGGAACACAUGAGAGCAGUUUUAUUUAAAGAAGAUGGAGAUAAGCAUAAAAAGAAAUAAUGUGAAGAGCAUAAUGGAAAAAGAAAAGGAAAUGAGAAAAUAUUUGAGAAAAAGGAAGAGGAAACAAAUAAAAAUAAUUGAUAAAAAGAAAAAGAAUCUAAUAAAAAUAAUUAAAAAAAAGAAAAGAAAACAUAUAAAAAUAAUUGAAAAACAAAACUAUUUCAAUCAUUUCUUAUAAAAUGAAAAAUGUUUUAGUUUUUUUUAAAGGAAAAACUAAAAACAUUAUCAAACACUCUUGUUACUUAAAAAAUGAAAAUAGAAAUAGAAAACAGAAACGUUAGAGGGUCUGUUAAAGAAUUGAGAUAAAUGUGAAAGAGUAGUAGUUUAGGAAAGCAAUAGUUUCCAACCCCGUAAUGGAAAUCGGGAAAUCGGGGGUUGGUAUUCAAUUCCUCGGCUCAUUCAAGCCGAUUGAUUGCGAGGUUGUUGGAUUGGGUAAAGGUAGUGGGUGGCUUCCACAUCACUUGGACUUCACAUCUCUUUCUCUAUAUAUCUCUAACCGACAAUGCUCAGAUGCGAUUUCCUAUCGUCUUUCUUCUUCUCUUUCACUUAUUUCUCUCUCUCCAUCUCCCAUUCUCCCCCUCUCUUUCGUAAGUCUUCAGUUUCGAUUCUGUCCAUCUUCUACUUUCCCCCAUAUGUCUCACAUUGUUCAUUAUUUCCAUUGAUUUCCAGGUUGCUGCUUCCGAUCUCUAACUCCUACACCUCUCAAAGGGAAGAGAAGAUGAAGGUCAUUGACAAGAUCCGGGCAGCUACCGCCGGCGAUGGCGGAAGAGUUGUUUUCUCCUUUGAGUACUUCCCGCCCAAGACAGAGGAUGGUGUAGAUAAUCUUUUUGAGAGGAUGGACCGUAUGGUGGCUCAUAAUCCUUCCUUCUGCGACAUUACUUGGGGCGCUGGUGGCUCCACUGCCGAUCUCACCCUCGACAUUGCCAACAAGAUGCAGAACAUGAUCUGUGUUGAGACAAUGAUGCAUCUCACCUGCACCAAUAUGCCUGUUGAGAAGAUCGACCAUGCUCUUCAGACUAUCAAAUCCAAUGGACUUCAGAAUGUCCUCGCGCUUCGCGGUGACCCUCCCCAUGGACAGGACAAGUUUGUCCAGAUCGAAGGCGGCUUCGCUUGUGCUCUCGAUCUUGUACUCUCUAAACCUUUGUUUGUGUUUGUUUUUUGUAUGUUAUUUGUUUCUGCUCUCUAAAUGUUUCCAUUUCUUAUUCAUAGGUUAAACAUAUCAGGGAGAAAUAUGGUGACUACUUCGGCAUUACUGUAGCUGGAUAUCCAGGUUUUCCUUUUUCUUAUCAACAGUUACAGAUCUACUUUUGGCUGCCUUUUCUUUUCUGUAACUAACGGCAUGCUAAUGGUUACUUCCAUUCUGUUCUUCUCAGAGGCACAUCCGGAUGUGAUUGGAAGCAAUGGCGUGGCGACGACUGAAGGCUACCAAAGCGAUCUGGCUUAUCUUAAGAAAAAGGUCACUCUGAUCUUAAAGCAAUCUUGGUUCAUCUUUUCCUGUUUUUACUUGGCUUUUGAUAUACUACUUUAUUUGUUUUUUGCUUGCUCCUAUUUUAUUAUUUUGUUUUGGGUUCUUCUCAGUUUGAUGCUGGGGCUGAUCUGAUUGUUACUCAACUCUUCUAUGACACGGACAUUUUCCUCAAGUUUGUUAAUGAUUGUCGUCAAAUUGGAAUUACCUGCCCAAUUGUACCUGGUAUUAUGCCCAUCAAUAAUUACAAAGGUUUCUUACGCAUGACUGGCUUUUGCAAAACUAAGGUAUAACCUUCCCUCUGAUCUUUAUUGAUGGUCUUGAUACAGGUUAUGUCGAUACUUGUUCAUCGCACUUCAUGAUACAUCAAAAUUUACAAUCAUUGAUCAUCAAAUUUUUAUUUCUCUUCUCUAAAGAAAAAUUAUUUUGAUGUAAGGUUAAAGUUUUUCUCUUCUACCAGUAUACUACUUGAUUUUUGAAAAUCUACAGAUUCCAGAUGAGAUCAUGGCUGCCUUAGAGCCUAUCAAGGACAAUGAAGAAGCUGUCAAAGCUUAUGGAAUUCACCUUGGAACUGAGAUGUGUAAGAAGAUUUUGACUCAUGGAAUCAAGACUCUACAUAUUUAUACACUGAAUAUGGAGAAAUCGGCAUUGGCUAUACUAAUGGUAUAUUCCAGUAUCCAAUCAAUUGCAUUCUAGUUUUACUUCAAAUUAUUGUUUCUGUGGGUAAUUUUGUCUGUGGAUGCUCUGGUACAAGGGGAAGUUUCUGAAGAUUAUGUUGAUGUGUCGUAUUGGUGGGGUGGUUUCCAUUUAUUGAAUAUGGCUUCCUUUCCUUUCUUAAUCUUGGUUCAUGACUUCAUGUUUUAUUUGGACAACUGAGAAUCUGCGUCUAUCUUUUGAAGUAAACUUGUAAGGAGUCACAAAGUAAUUGUUAUAAUGAAAACUUCUGAAUGUAAAUUGCUGAUACGCCAUUAGAAGUAUGUUUUGAAACUCUGGCACAAUUGUCUUAUACUAAGAAGAACAUGACACCUACACUUGUAUAUUUUUUAAUAUAGGAUAAAUAUAUUAUAAAAUGAGAGUAGGUUUUGUUAAUUGGAUGUUCUUAGGCUCCCUUUUUUUAUUAUAAAGUAAUUUAUACUUGUUCUUUUACCAAUUCUUUUUCUACAUUAUUAUUAGGGAUAUUUGCUAAUAUAGCAACUAGAUUCAAAACAUUAGUAUAUAUAGCAACAAUUUUUUUAAAAAUUGCAAAUAUAGCAAAAUCUGUCAAAGUUUAUCAUUGAUAGACCAUGUUGCAAAUGUUGGUCUAUCAGUGAUAGACCAUAAGUGUCUAUCACCUAUAGAAGUCUAUCACUUAUACUUUGCUAUAUUUGCAAUAUUCUUAAAAUGUUGGUAUAUACUUAUUUAUUAUUCCUAAAAUUGCUUCUCAUAUUAUAAUUACCUUUAUUAUUACUAUUUAGGAGGCUUGUAGUUUAUUUAUUUAUUUUAUGUCAAUAAAUCUUGUCUAAGUGCACUUCUAUACUCAUGGCAGAAUCUUGGUCUCAUUGAAGAGAGCAAAGUCUCAAGAUCCUUGCCUUGGAGGAGACCAACAAACGUUUUUCGUGUCAGGGAGGAUGUUCGUCCAAUCUUCUGGUAUUUCUUCUGCUUAUUGCAAAAUGAGGAUGCAUUCCUAAUGGUUUUUGGGUGCAUCAGUUUUUUUUACACUGGGUUAAUAUUGAGAUAGAGCUGAUCUACGUAGUUGUUGAUUACAGGGCUAAUCGUCCUCGAAGCUACAUAUCAAGGACCAUAGGUUGGGACCAGUACCCUCAUGGUAGAUGGAGUGAUUCUAGAAAUCCUUCAUAUGGGGCAUUGACUGACUAUCAGGUAUGAAUAACGAACUAGAACUUGUCAUACAUGAUCUUUGUGAGUGCCGUUCGUAGUACAUGCUCUAUGUUUAUAUUAGUUGUAUGUGUGUGUGAGAGAGAAAGAGAGAGAGCUGUAGGGAGGAGAUUUCCUUUUGCAUCUGAAUUACUUUUUGUUGACCGCCUGAAAACAUCUACAUGAAUUAAAGACUUAAAAGUUGUCUUUGAUUAGUCUGACACCAUAACAUAAUCACAAUAGAAUUCUGUGAAUGAAGCUUAUGAUUUUAGGAAUAAAUUGUCUAGAAAGUCAUCGGUACCAACUCCUGUUGGAAGCUUUUGCUGGACUUUUGCCCCCAAAUAAUGUGUUUGUUUUUAGUCUUAUUAUUGGCAAGCUGAUAAGAGGAUUUGUUAGAAGUUUAAUCAGAGUUAUUUUUGCUUUGUUUUGCACUUAAGUUUAUGCGACCACGGGCACGUGACAAGAAGCUUCUUGAGGAAUGGGCACUCCCAUUGAAAAGCAUUGAAGAUGUUUAUGAGGUACUGUUCCCAACCAAGAGCGUAGAGAAAUUUUGUUAUAACUGCUAGCGAUCAACUAGUAAUGUUGUACUCUUUUUUGUAUCAGAAAUUUAUGAAGUACUGCCUUGGAAAGUUGAGAAGCAGUCCUUGGUCUGAGUUAGAAGGUCUUCAGGCUGAGACAAGGAUGAUAAGUGAACAGCUUGGGAAGAUUAACAUGAAAGGUUUUCUUUCUAUCAACAGCCAACCAGCAGUUAAUGGAGAAAGAUCUGAUUCUCCUUGUGUAGGUAAAUACAAGUUAAUGCAUUUAUUCAGUUAGCUUUUUUGACAGCCCAACUGACAAAGUGUUUGAAAAAGUAGGAAAAGUACUUGAAAACAAAAACUGAACUAGAUAAUUAAUAAGAAUAAAAGACAAUAUAGCCAAGUUACAUAUUGAAGGGAAAUUUAAUAUCCCAAGGGAAUGAAGCACUUCAGUUUCCAUUCAUAUUCAUGAAAUCAGAAACCUGUACAGGGUCCAUCUGUCAAAGACAGUUAAUGGUCAUUUGAAGGGAUGAAACACGUGUAGAUGGUAUGUAAACUUUAACCAUGCAAUCAUCAUGCAUGAGUCGCCCCUGUCUAGUGUAGGGGAAUUAUUAUUUUCUUGCUGGAAAAUUCAACACUUGGUCUCUAGUCUUUUUGUAGUGAUCUUAUUAGGUUUUAACUUCUGAAAUUUGUGCUAAAUGGUGACAAAAUGUUUAGUAAUCUAACCAAUGUUGGGACGAUUGAUAAUGAUUUACAGGAUGGGGUGGGCCAGGAGGUUAUGUUUAUCAAAAGGCGUACAUUGAGUUUUUCUGUUCCAGGGAAAAGUUGGAUGCUAUUGUUGACAAAUGCAGGGCCCUUCCAUCUCUCACCUACAUGGCGGUGAAUAAGGAAGGCAUUUGGGUAUCCAACGCCACUCAAAAGGAUGUGAAUGCUGUAACAUGGGGAGUUUUCCCAGCCAAAGAGAUCAUCCAGCCAACUGUUGUCGAUCCUGCCAGUUUUAUUGUGUGGAAAGAUGAGGCGUUUGAGAUUUGGUCAAGGGGAUGGGCUGCCUUGUAUCCUGAGGGCGACUGGUCUCGAAAAUUGCUUGAUGAGGUUGGUACACUUGGUUUAAUUUUUCAGUGCUCAAUUAAUUAAUUUUGGUUUAAUUUUUCCUCAAAAACAAUAUCCAAUCGUAGAGAAUUGUGUGGAGUAUGAUUAAUAAAUAGGUACGAUAUCCAAUUCUAUGUGAUUGAAAGGCUUAAUUAUUAAAAAGAUUAAAUGUUGUUUUAUCUACAAGGUUAGUGUAAUAUAUAUAGUGAUAGAAGUUGAGAAGGUAUGUGGAGGAUUAUUAUUGAUGACAAGCACUAUGUUAUUUGUUUCAGAUACAGAGCAGCUACUACUUGGUGAGUCUGGUGGAUAACGAUUAUAUAAAUUCCGACCUCUUUGCUAUUUUGGAGGACUUCUGAGAUGAGCUCUACUAUUCAUUUCCAUGAUUCUAGUUUUUUUUUCUUCCAUCUUUCGAUUUCUCAUUGAAGCUUGGAUAAGGUUAAUUCAAGAAGAAUUUAAUUUAAUUUCUUUUUAAAUUUUUUUCUUCCGUUUGUUAUAAUUUCCCAAAAGCGAGGGGUGUCCAUUUAAAUACAUUAAAAACAAUUUUGGGAUUUUAAACUUCCCGAGGUUGGAUGUAAUGUAUCAUUCAUUUGUGACUGAAGUAUUAGAUUAUGAAUAUCUCUAAAGGGGUGACACCUUGGGCUUGGGAUAUUACCAUGGGUGGAUCUAUUAAGGGGUCAGGGGUACGUGUUCUCUUCACAUUCUCGGUUUUUAUAUUUUAAUAUUAGUUUUGAAGUGUCAAAUUAUAAUAUAUUUUCAAAAUAUGGUUUUUUACUAUAUUCUGCUUUUAGUACCGUGGUUGUGUCCCUCUUGAAAUUCCAAGAUCCUGGGUUCAAAACUCAUCCACUAUAAUUUUUUUUUUUUUUGUUAAUCAUGCUUCCUAUAUAUGAUUUUUGGAUACGCCAUUGGAUAUCACAUUUAUAUUUCAUGGUUCUCUUCCAGUUUUAAAAUCAAGCGGCGUUCGUUCAUGUUCUAAUAACCAACCAGCCUAACGAAUUUGAAAUAAUUGAAAAUUUUAUGAUAAAUCUUGACCUACGAUGUCUGUGGUGGAAGAUUACUAGGAGAUCAAAUUAAUAUAAUAUUUGAGUAGGAGAUCACAAGAUCACAGUUGACUAGGAGAUCAAAUUAAUAUAAUGAUUGAGUAGGAGAUCAGACUAGGAGAUUAUCAUAAGGAGAUCAGACUAGGAGAUUAAAUUAAUAUAAUGAUUGAGGUCGAGUUAUCAUUGUUCACAGGCUUGUGCCGUUAAUUUUGGUUGAGUACUACUAUUUUACCUCAUUUUGUUGGUUGAGUACUGCUAAUUUACCUCAUUUUGUUGAGAAAAUUAAACUUUCAAAGAGGAUUUAUUUAUAUGAACACUAGUGCUCUAAGUGAAGAUGACAAUUAAAGAUGAAGUUUAAGAUAUAAUUGAUGCAAUGGAAUGAUAAACUCAACAAAAUAAAAGAUUCUUUUACAAUGCAAAGUACAUAAGUCAAUAAGGUAUUCUUUUGUUGUAAACACUAAGGAUGUGUUUGGAUCCCAUAUUAUCACUAUGGGUUUGGGGUCCAAGUAUUGGAAACCAUACUUAUCCUUUUCAGACUACUCCUUCAAUACUCUGUAAUACCCUCUGAAAUAAUGUAACCCUUCAUCUGAAAUCGUGUAACCCUUUCUGUUUUAUGCAUCCUUUCCUUCUCCGUUCAAUAUUGUCUCUUCCUCUUUCAUUCUUCGUUUUUUCCUCCAAAUCUUACCGUCUUACUAUUCAAUUCAAUACCUUCUCCGACACUAAAUUCAUUUUGUUUUCCUCUCCCAACCCCAGAAGAAGAUCUACUUCUCCUAAUAAAUCUUCCCCUAUGUUGGAGUACAUUUUCUGUGUCGGCACUGUUGUCGCUGCUUAGAUUUUAAAAGGAACUCAUAGGAACAAGAAAAAAAGGGGGAAGAAGAAGAAAAAGAAGAGAUGCUGUUUGAGAAUCUGUAAAAGGAGAAGAGAUUUACGAGAUUGAUGUGUUUUUCGUUUUUUUUUUUUUCUUUUCAUUUUUUGUUUUUGAGUUUGGAAAAUUGAAAUCACUCUUUAAUUAUACAUAUGGAGUUUUAGGAAAGAGGGUGAUUAAAUUUGCAUUUAAACUAUGGAUUUUGCCUCUUCUUUUUCCUGUUCUUGAGACUUUUUUUUUCUGUUUCUUUUUUUUUUUCCCUCAAUAUUUUGGGAUAUUAGAUAAAUAACGUUGAGAUUUUACUAAUUUCAUAAAUUUUCUGUGAUGGGUGCGUAGAAUUUGUGGUUAAUUUACACUAAUCUACUUCAAAACGAUCUCUCUCAACAAUCUGUUUAUACCAAAAGUAAGUUUUUAAUUAAUAAAAUUCCUGAUUGUCAUUUUCACAUAUUUUUUUGUUCAUUUUUUUACAAAAUUGUUUGAAAAUGCUUGAGAAUUUAAUGAAAUUUUUAGAUUAAAAAUGGGAAUGAGAGAUUAAAUUAAAACAAAAUACAAACUUCAAUUCAACGAUGAGGUUGUAACAUUUUGAAAUUUAUGAACUAACAUAUACAUUUCUCUCAAAUCAACAGAGCCACCGAUUAUACAUUCCUCUCAAAUUAACAGAGCUUACAACGUCAAAUAAGAUUAUUUAAUCAAAUAAAUUUAUGAAAUUUGUGUACUGGAUCUUAGAAAAAAAAAUCAUAAAACUACUAUCAUAAUUCUUACUUCAAACGCAUGUUAUCAUGUAACACUACUUACAUAACCCUUAUUCUAAACAUCUUAUUAUAAAACUAUCAUAACCCUACCUACAUAACCCUUCUUCCAAACACAUAUUAUCAUAACACUGCUUACCAUAAUCCUUCCUCCAAACAGAUACUACCAUAACACUAGUUUUAUUAUAACACUAACCCUUCCAUAACCCAACCCUUCCCCCAAACGUCCCAAAAAUUGAACUUUACUGUAUCAAUUUUUAAACAUUUUGACAGAGUUUCUCCUUAAAACGGGAUAAAACGCCCUUCCAAACCUAUAACACUCCCAAGCUGUGUUUCAAUCUCCCACCAGGUUUGUAUCACCACACACUCUUCAAUAGAAUCAAGUUCACAACAGUCUAACCACAUCGCAUCAUGAAAAAUUGGGAGGAACAGUAGAAGUUUUAGUUUACUAACCAUCUCAAACCAACACUAGCCAUUUUAAUUACAUGCCAAAAACAAUUCAAAAUACGUAUGUAAUAAUGUGAAAUUUAAAUAAAACUGGUGAUAGAUCUCAACUUCUAUUGGUUGUUGGAACCUCAAAUUCUACUCGAUGGAAAAUUAAAUUUUAAAAAUGAACUAAAAGCCUAGUGAUGGUGUAAAUUCAUAAGAGAAUAAUGUUUAGAAAAAAAAUCACAUUCAUAAUGGAAAUUUAUAACUUUAUAAAUCAACAUAAAUCAUCAACAAUUCAAAAACUCGAGAUAAUUAAAAAUCUAAAAGACAAAUGAAACUCUUGAAAGCAUAGCAAUGAGUUAAAAAUCCAUAAGUUUUACAAAGGAAACUCUUGAAAGCAUACCAAUAAGUUCCAUCACUAAAAUUGUACCCAAACUUUUAACCAUACUGCAUAACCUAGGUCUAUUUCGCCUAGUUGUAGGUUGUUUGUUUGUAAGUUUGGUUUGGGGGUUUGCACAGGUCAUCCUCACUCAUCCAUGCCUACUAUCUUGUUAGGUUUUAUGUUCUAAAACUCAUAGAUAGUAAAUAUAAUCUAUUGACCGUUAUUAAUAAUGUUAUAUUUCAAUAAAUGUUAUUAAUUAUAUUAUUAGUUGUCUUAAUAACCUAAAUCCAAUAAACUAACAUCCUAAGCUGUUUUUAUGAGUCUUGAAUAGUAUGCAGAGACGUAUAAGGAUCAAUGUUCGAGAUACAACUUAAAGGAUCUAUAGUAUAGGAAUAAAAUUUGGUACCUUAUCCUGGUAACACUAUGGAUACGACUCACUUUGUAUUUGAUACAAACACAAUGAUCCAACGCCUUCGUGUAGGUGACAUGAGAGUGAGGGUAUUUUGUGCAAUGAGUUUGCAUAAGACUAGACCACGAAAUAAUAAUCACUAGAUGUAACUCUAUUAACUAGUUGAGUUUCUAUUUUAUUAAGAUGACCUAUGUAACUUAGUCUUAAUCCUGAGUGCAUUAUGAACUCCUGUUCGCGAGGGAUUGUUCUUUGAUUUGUACGGGUGAGAGUGGCUAGAUUGUCGACUCAAUAUAUUUAUCAUUUUGGAGAUAAGACCGAGUAGAGAGCUGAAAACAUAAUCACGCAAGAUAGAAUUUACUCAUUUCCAACUUUAGGGUAAGUAGAUGAGUGUUCCCUUAAAUGGUGUCUCCAAGAAUUGAACAAAAGGUCCUACCUUCUCUAUGAUAUGAGAGGAAUUUAUGUUUAUUGGUUGGACUAAACGAUCAUGUAAGAAAAAAUCAAUGAGAUUUGGCUACCCAAAUUUAAACGAAUUCUAUAUUGUGUAAAUACUUUGCUGCUUUAUUAUUUCUUUUAAAGACCCCUAUGAUUUAUUUAAUUAAUUUUUUUAAAAAAUUAAAUUAAUAGGAAACGUGGUUUUUCCAUGUUCCCAGUUUUCUCUCCAACUUCCCUCUUCUUCAGGAGUUAUACACACAACAAAAAUUAAUAACGUUUCUGGGAAUUUUUUUUGCGUGUUAAAAAUUUUCUUUCCAAUUUUGGUUCCCACAAACCGAUCUCCAUCCCAGAGAAUAGGGAGCUCUACGAUUGGUGGUGUCUUCAAUUCGGUGAUUUGUAGAUUCACGGUCGUCAACGGAUGUAAGUUCUUCUCUAUAUUUCUGCAAUUCCCUAUAAUUUUAUUAGCAUGUUUAGCUUUUAGAAUUUUGUUUCUAAAAUAUUGUCAAUGUACUGAUAUUUUGGGAUUUCCAAAUUAAAUUGACUUAUUGGUCUCUGUAAAAUCUUUCGCUGCUAUGGUUUUUAUCCCUUCAUAUCUGACCUAGUUGGUCACUCCACAGACAUCGGUGAUGGUUAUUGAUUCUAGACAACAAAGGUUUAACAUCAUGGAAAUAGUGUUGUUACCUAUGUUGGUAUAGUGCUUUUAAGUCUAAUCCACAUGAUGUGUCAUUGAUUCAAGAUCAUUACAUGCAAAAUGCUCUUCAUGAAUCUCUUCAUCGUGCUUGGAUAUGAUCAUUGCAUAAAAAAAGCUCUCAUUAUCCUCAAUCACUUAUAAGUCCUCAUUGUACAAGUUUUUCCAUUGAUUGUCCAAGUAUAAGUGAAACAAUAGAUUUUCUUAGGUGAGCCAGGGUUGAACAUAUGGAAUUGAUAUCAAAGUUUAGUUAUAGAGUCUACUUUUCAAUUAGGCGAUAUAAAAAAGUAAAUUAAUAAAAAGAUGUAAAAGAAUUAAGGGAUGAACUAAAUCUAUGUAUGUACACCUAGAGCGUUGUGCAAAGAUGCUUUAAUGAGGGUGGUUGAGAUGGUGUAAAUGUGAACUAACUUGUACUAAAGAAGAAGGUAAGGGAAUUAUGUCUUAAUGUUAUCAUGCGAAUACUCUCUAUGACCAUCUCAAUGCGAGAUAACUUGAUUAAGUAGCUGUUCGCACGAGAUUUCCUAAGAAAUUUGAUUCGUGGAUUUGAACUUGAGUUGAUGUUGUAUUUUUGUUGUUUUGAUGUGAUGUGGUUCAAUCUCUAGAAUUUAAUCAUCUGAUUCUCUCUCGAUUGGAUGCUUGCGCUUGAUUUGGAGGAAGCAGAGCAAAUGAUGUUCUUGAAGUUUCUUGAACGUCUACACUUGAUUUGGAGAAGCGGAGCACGUGAUGUUCUUCAAGUUGGUUGAACGUCUACGCUUGAUUUAGGAAAGCGGAGCACGCGAUGUUUCUCAAGUUGGUUGAAUGCCUACGCUUGAUUUGAGGAAGCGGAACACGUGAUGUUCUUGAAGUUGGAGUCUUGGAAAAAAGUUUGUAUCUUCAAAGGAGCUUCAAUCUUCGAGAGUGGUCGACUUCAGGAGUUAAGGAGUCUUCUAGCUUUUGAGAGAAUUCUUUCUAGACCUUCUGGAGUCAAAAAUUUCUCACCCCUAUAAAUGAGGAGAACUCCUCUAUUUAUAGAGUUUACUGGUGAGCUUUAUGAGUUUGAGCCUGGUUGGUCCAUAGACCAGACCCAUGGGCUCAACCACAUGGAUUUAGAUUAUAUUUAGUAGCUCAAUUAAGCUUAUUUUUGGACUUAAUUGAACUUAGUUCAAGUAAAUAAUAUUUAAUUGAACCAAAAUGAUUAACUUAAUCCAACGGUUAAGAUGAAAACAUGUGGCAUUAUUAGAAUUGGGCAAUUUAUGUUUUCAAUUCAUUAAUUUGGGGCACAUGUCAAUUUUAAUUGGUCAGAAAUUUAAUUAUUUGCAUUUUUAUCAUUAAUUUAAUAAAUGAUGUGACAAUUUCUGAUUGGUCUCAAAAUUUCUUAUUCAACAGUAGCUUAUGAUUAAGACGUAUUCCUCUCAGAGUCAUUGAACGUCACACAUAGUUACCUGUCAGGAUCCAAGUGACUUAGCUCAGCUAAACAAGGUAUAUCUAGAAGUACUUACUAAUAAAACUUAUAGAACUUUGGGUUCAAGAACAACAACCUCCUAGUGCAUAUUGCCCACACUUGUUCUCCUUUUGGGAUACAAAUGAUGGACGUUAUCUCGUCAAGGUGGAAUUUGUCUCCAAACUCCUCCUUGCACGCAUUAGCUUUGUCCUUGCUACUUACUCUCUCGAAUAGUUGAUGACAUGCACCGGUCAAGUGAUGAAAAUAGCUCAACUAACGCGAUAAGAAUGAUAAACUAAACUUCUUAUCAAGGACUUAUGACAAACCUAAAUACGAAUAACAUAUGGACGGAUGAACAUGAUAGAGAUGGAUGGAUUGAAAAGGUAUAAACAUGUAAUAUAUUAAAGAUUGUAGACAUGGGGCCAUUAUACAAUAUGAAAAACAUAUAUUACAAAGAAAUACAAAAAUGGUAAGAAAUACAAGUGACAUUACAAGUUAGGGGAAUAUAGGAGAUGAUAUCUUCCUCACUCAAACCAUAAGCUCUCACUUUACAAACUAACCGGAGAAGAUGAAGAUGUUCUUUACAGACGGUGUAGGCUAUUCCUUACCACCAACUCUCUAGGGUUACACCUACUUGCACAGGUAAAUUAUGAUUUUUUGAUUCAUAUCAAUAUAAUUUUCAACCUAAACACAAACUAUAAUAUACUAUUAUAAUUCACUCCUUGUCUCCAAAUUAUUAGUCUACUCCUUGUCCCAAAUGCCUUCCAAAAUUAUUUUUUUUCAAUAUUUUCAAACAUCUCUACAAAAGUUGGUAGCUAUUUUUCUCAAUAUUCGAGAUUUCUACCCGUUCAUCAUCAGUCAUUUAAUCAAACCAUUUGGUCAUAAUUUUUCAAAAUUGAAUAUUCUACAUUUCUUUUUCUUGCAUGAAGCACUUGGGAACAUGGCCGUCUAAUAAUCACUUAAAGAUGUUGCUGGAACAGACUCGAGUAUUAUAAUAAUACAUAUACACGCUUUUUCCCUACUUACUGGCGGGAGCUUAAUGAAAUUUCUAGUCUAAGAUUGCAUCAUCAAAAUGUUGUAAACAAAUGAAAUCAUGAAAUAUACAAGCCUACAAAUAUUACCCAACGGGAAACCACCCCAAUCCUCUGUAUAUUCAUGCCAUCUCUGGAUGCUUAGUUAUCCGAACAAUAUCCAUUCAGGUCACCAAUCUUUGAAGCAUUCUCCAACGAAAGAUGGUUUGUCAUCAGCAUCCAGAUUUGACUGAACAGACGAAAAAAAUUUGAGAAAAGAAAAAAGAAAAAUACGAGGAUAAACAAUAAAUUUAUAAAUAACGUGAGAUUCUUUUGAAGCAGAAGAAAGUCGACACAGAUACUUGGGCUUCAAAUAGUUGAGCAAAUAACCAUAAAACAGGUUCUAACCUUCAAACGAGCUCCCUUUAGGUGAUCCGCUUGAUUCCUCCUGGCAUCAUAGAAACUGCUGGAAGUAAUCCAGAGUAGCUUAAGCGACGGCAGAUAGGAUAUCAUCUCCCUCGACUUUAAGCUAAAAUAUUAAAAGAAGGGAAAGAAAAAAAGAGUGAAAAAAAAAUGUAAGCCAUACUUACAAGAUAAUUGUAUAUAACGAGAGUCAAACAUUAAAGUACAAUAUACCAGCUUCAGAUGAUUCAACAAAGCACCAUGCAAUAGGUUUCUCAGCUUCUCACAAGCAUCUACCAUGUGACCUGAGCGGAUCAAUUCAUCUAUUUUGCACCAUAAGUACUGAACGGCGUUGUAGGGGAAGCAAAUAGAGAAUGGUCUUUUUCGGUUAAUUAAGUCUGCUGGUGCCUGCAGAGUUGGAACAUGAUUCAGUAUCAUGUUUGGCCCACAGAAUCCAAAAUUCAUUGGAAAAUGUUCAAACUUGAAAGAGAUUUCAUUUAUGAACCAUCCAAAUUUAUACAUUUAAUCAAUUUUAGAUCGUACGUUAGAUUAUUCGUUAAAUUAUUGUUCAAGUAACAAAUGGAAGAGAUUUCUUUGGGUAAUGGGGGCUUUCAGUUUGGAAAAGAAAGACAUUCAGUCCGUCGAUUAAGAUAAUAGAACUUCAGAUAGAAAAACCAAUACAUGAAUUACCAUUGAUGCAAAGGAUUCCAUGUAUUCGAGCAACAGAUGGGUAGCCUCUGUAUAUCGACCAUAUUCAACAUAUAAUCGAAACAACAAUGCUGGAUUUGAUUCUUCACCAGUCAUCCCCCAUGUCUUUGGCCUUCUACCAUCCUGCCAUAAUAUUGUCAGAUGAAUUGACACUAAACAAUGAAAAAUACCAUUUCCACAGAAACUGCUGAAAAUAUUAUGUACCAAGAUUUUGCACAAAGAACAGUUAUUAAUCAAGAAAGAUGGCAAAAAAAAAAAAAAAACAGAGCGAUGGAAUUUCGAUUGUAGUGACUUGAAAGAUGAAUUUGAACAUAACAAUUGCACCCAUGCUCGCUUUUUUCAAAGAUUCUAUCAUGAUCUACGUUGGCAUUAUUAUUUUAAUUCAUCCAGUAAAUGAACUUUGUUUUUCCCCUUUUGUCGGUAUUUUAGCAUGUUAAGGUAGUUUUGAAUUUUAUUAUUAUUAUUUUUUUUUUAUAAUAUUUGCCUCAACCAUUAAAUUUCCUAACCUAGGAAAGUUUUUCAAUCUACAAUCUGUCAGUCAUUAGCAUGUAAAAGUAGAAAUGGAAAACUAGAGCGCUCUCACUUCUUUUAAUUGAAGAACUUUCAUCUAUGGUGCUCCUAAUUAACUUCCUUUUCCAUUACAAUCAACUAAACAAUUGAAUGUCUUAACAUCCGUAUAUUAAUCUUUGUUUUAUUAAGCCUAUAUUUGUACAUUAAUCUUUAUCAAAAGAAAACCAAUUAUCUCGUUGUGUUUUCAAUACCAAGUUUUACCCGUCAUUUCUCAAGUCAAACAAGAAUUGCAUUAUGCGACAAAAGACAAAUCUAAGAUUUCAUCUGGUCAAAAUGAAUAAAUAUAAAUAAACCAGUGGCAAAAUUUGGGAAAAACCUUAAACAUAAGAACCAGCCAAAGAGGCAAUUCCAUCUGGGAGUCUGCUCGGAGAAGCGUUUCCACAACAAUAAGAGGCAAUCUAGCGUUGAGACCUUUAUAUUUUUCCUGAAAGUUAUCAAUUUAAAUGAUCAAGAAAGAGAAAGUUGUAAGUGAAACUACAGAAACAGGAACGACAGACAAAAAGAAAUACAGAGUAAAAAUCCCAAGUACCUUUAAUAAGCAACUGAAUAAACAAGGUGUUCACUCUUUACUAAAGAGAAGAGGUGUCCAGUCUUUAGCAAAGAGAAAAGAAGAAAUAAAAACUGAAAAGGCAUGAAUAAGUGAUCUGAGUUGUUAAAAUUUGAACUAUACAUUAUAUAAACUAAUAGAAGAGAUAACGGCUACGUUUGGUGGGCAGAGUUGGGUUGAGUUGUUUGCGGUAGGGGUGCAAACAGUUUGGUUCGGCUUGAUUUUAUAGAAAACCGAAACCGAACCACAAUGCUGAUGGAACACCAGGUUGAGUUUAAUCAAUAGAACUUUAUUGGUAACAAUUCAUGCGUUCGAUUAGAAGAACAGAUCGAAUUGAGUAAAUCUCAAUUUGGUUACAAUCUCUCUUUCUUACCUUGUCUUUCAAAGGUGCACAGAAUUCCUCACUAAUCUCAAAACAUGACUGCCUUUCCCUCCAAGAUUACAAACUUAUUUAUAAAGCAUAUUAUAAACAACUCAUCUAACCAACUCACAUGUGCAUGCACUAACUCUCACACUUGCCUGUACUAUCACUCUUUCUUCUUCCCUCGUCUACUAUAUUGGUGAAUGAUAAGGGUCUAACAUUACAUUCCUUCUCCAAAUUCACCGUGUCCUCAAGGUGAGAUUUUGGAAACAGCUGCUGCCUUUCUUCAGUCUUCCCAUGUAGCCUCGUGUCAAGGAAAGUCUUUCCAGCUGAUCAGCAUGUCCCAUCCACCAGUUUUACUUUUCAAGUAGCCAUAAAUCUCAUCCGGCACGGCUCACCAUUCAUGAGUCUCCGUCAUAUAAGGCAUAUAUAACGGCUCAACCUAAUGAUUCCCCAACAUUUUCUUCAAUUGUGAAACAUGAAAAACCAGAUUAAUGGAUGAUGUCUCUGGCAACUCUAACUUGUAUGCAACCGAGCCAAUCCGUUCUAUGAUCUUAUAAGGACAAAAAAACUUUACUGAUAACUUCUCAUUUCUUCUUUUCCACAAUGAAACCUGUCUGUAUGGCCUUAUUUUAAGAAAGACUAGAUCACCUACCAUAUAUUCCACAUCUCUUCUCUUCAGAUCAGAGUUUCUCAUCUUUUCUUGAGCUAUCUGCAAGUGUUGUUUCAAUGCCCCCAACAUUAUGUCCCUCUCCUUGAGCUGCUCAUCCAAUGCUGAAUUAGGAGUGUCCCGAUCUCCAUAAUAUACCAGAGAUGGAAGUACUUAUUACAUCGAAAACAGAGUCCUUUCUCCUUCCGAGCCUAAAAUUCCAUAUCAGACAACCUCUUAGUAGGUCCCUCCUUAACUUCCCCACUAGCCACCCCUCUUAAGGUGAUCGUUCUCAUGGGAAAGGUAACAUUACUUUUAUGAUCAUUUGAAUUGGUACUUAUACCAGAUUUAGUACUGGUAGAGGAGGAAGGUGGAUAUUUACCUCUAGCAUAACCUUUAAGGUUAGCUUCUCCACGGAUAAUCUCGUGGUUUUCUACCAAGUCAGAAGAGAUUCUUCUUCUAUUAUCCUUCCAGUUAGAAGGGCUAAUAAUUGAGUGAAUUACAUCAUUUGAGCCAAUCCGGUUGGUCGACAAAAGUCUACCUCAACCUUGAUCCACGGCAACAAGCCAUUCAUGAAUGUCUCCAUAAUCACCCUAUCAUGCAGGUCUGAUAAUGGGGCCAUUAGUUAUCGAAAAGGUUUCGAUAUUCCUCUACUGUCGUCUCUGGCCAGAUCCUUAAAAAAUGGCCACAUAUAGAUCCUUCACGUACUAAUCAGAAUCACACCAAUAAUCGUUCCUUCAAGUUCAACCAAUCCACGAAUCUUUCCCGAUCUUCCUACGCUCUGUACCAGUUCAAGGCUGGACCUUCGAAACUAAUCGUUGCAGCAUCAGUCAAUUGGUGGAUUUGAAAAUAUCUAUUGGCUCGAAAUAGCCAAGAAUUGGGAUCUUCCCCAUUGAAUACUGGCAUUUCCACCUUUUUGAACUUAUUUCGCUUUGUAUUUCCAUCUUCGUUUUCCACUUUUCCUUCUCGAGUUUCGCCUCUACUUUCCUUGCUUGACAAUCCUUCUCCUACUUUGGCUUCAUCGUCAAUGUCUCGCGCAUACUCGACUCAACCACUUUGUCACUCAUGGCAGAUCAUUCCUUCGCUAUUGACUCCAUAAACAUCAUCAUCAUCUGUUUAGUUUUUUCUGUCUGCACACUUAAAAUUUCCAUUUUCGUCAUGGUCAUCGUCAACUUCUCCUCAAUUGCUGGCAAUUUGCUUAUUUCCAGCUUCAUUCCGAGCAUCUCUUGAUCAUACGCCUUUAAUCGCUCUUCCAUGCGUGUCUCGACCAACAUGAUGGAACACCAGGUUGAGUUCAAUCAAUAGAACUUUAUUGAUAAUAAUUCAUGCGUUUGAUUACAAGAACAAAUGAAAUCAAAAUAGAUCGAAUUGAGUAAAUCUCAAUUCAGUUACAAUCUCUCUCUCUUACCUUGUCUUUCAAAGCUGCACAAAUUCCUCACUAAUCUCAAAACCUAAUUGCCUUUCCCUCCAAGAUUACGAACUUAUUUUAAAGCAUAUUCUAACUAACUCAUCUAACCGACUCACACGUGCCUCUACUAGCACUCUUUUUCUUCUUCCCUCGUCUACUAUACUGGUGAAUGAUAGGGGGUCUAUCAAAUGCAUGAAGAACAGCACCUAUCAAAUUGCUUAAACUGGUGGGUUGGUCGACAUGGCUUGCGGGUCACCGAUAUACACGUGCACGCACAAGAGAAUGACAUGGAUUCGUCUGAACGCAUGUCCAACACAUCAUUUUGCGUGUCUUUUUUAUUUUUAAUUUAGACACGCCGGAGAUACUUCACAAACAUGCUGAAAAAUAAAAAUAAACGGGACCAAAUUGUACGGCCCAUUAACUUUCUUUUUAAAAAACAUAAAAAAUCACAAAACCUAAAAUCUAAAUCGAAUGUGCUCCCCUUUCGUGCAGUACACAAAAUUGAGCAGCAGCCCCCAAACAGCUAACUUCAAAUGUUACUGCCUUUUACCUGUGCCCAAUACUCAAAGUUCAUAACUUUUUUUUGUUUAACUAUAUCCAUCAUGUUAGUUGUUAGCCAUCGCCUAUUUCAAGUUGAAAUUCUUUUAUAUAUAUAUAUAUAUAUAUUUUAAAUGUUAGGAUGACAUCUACAAACUCAUCUCUGCAAUUUAAAUAGUUUUGUUGUCUUGUACUCGUACAAACUAAAAUGGCUAAAUAACUUGACAAUUGCCAUUUUAUGCUUUUUUUACUUGAGUACAUUUAGUACUUGAUGUUAAAUCUUCAAAAAUAACUAAAAAUAUAGCUUAUCCCCGACGUGUGCGUAUCCUAAAAUUUUAGAAAUCGGUGUAUCGCCAUGUCCAGUCUUAUCUGUGUCCAUGUCCCAUGUCCGUGCUUCUUAGAACUCAAUCAUAACAUAAAAUACUAAAUGUACUACCUAAUUAAAAAAUUCCAGCUUAUUGGAAAGAACUGUGAGGAAAUUCUUUUGGGGAGGAAACAAAGGAGGCAAAAUGAAUCACCUUGUUGAAUGGGAGCCUGUGACCAAAUAACAAAAGGAUGGAGGCCACCCCAGAUUGAGUGAUCUAAAGGUUAGAAACUUAGCUCUUCUAUCCAGUUGAGGAUGGUGUUUAAUGUUCAAGCAAGAUUCUUUAUGGUGACAAGUGGUUUGAAGCAUUCACAUACGCAGUCCGCUUGAUUGGCAUACAAAUGGCAAAGAAACUGUUGGCCUUGAAGUCUGUGGAUCAGCAUCUCUAGGCAAUGGCACCAAAUUGAUGAUUUGGCAGUGUCCAAGGUUGGCAACAAAAGUAGAAUUCUUUCUUGGUUGGAUCCGUGGCCGGAGAGUUUUCCUUUUUAAAAAAAAAUUAAAGUUUACAUAGAAUUUCCCUAAAACCAAAAAGUUCUGUCUCAAGCCAUUAAGACACAUCCACCAAUUCAUUGUCGCUCUCCUUUAAAAAAUUGUUGGAAGAUGAAGAAGGUUCAGAUUUUGAAUUACUAUUAUGCCCGUUUGGAGGGACAGGAAUUCUUAACUUUCCAGAUAAAAGAUCUUGGUCGUUGGAGGCUAGUGGUAUUUUUUCAGUUAAAUCUGUAAUUAAUCACCUGUCCUUGGCUUCUCCUAUUGAAGUUUCCUUGGAAAGAUGCUUACAGAAAACAAAAGGCCCGCGAAGAGUGAAUAUCUAAAUCUGGAUCAUGCUGUUUGGAAGUAUCAAUUGCGCUUCAGUCAUGCAAAGGAAACUGCCUACUUAUUGCCUCUCACCUCACAUUUGCCCUCUUUGCCUUAAAAAUCAUGAGGAUCUUCAGCACCUAUUUUAUAACUGUGAAUUUGCAGCUCGUUGUUGGAAUCAAUUCUUCCACACCUUCAACCUAUGGUGAGCUUUUGAUAAAGUCUUUAAGAAUAAUGUGCUUCAGAUUCUUGUAGGGCCAGCCAUGAAGAAGAAGGUUCCUUGCUGCCGAGUAACGCAGUCAAAGCCCUGUCUUCCAUGACAAGAGUUCACCUUGGUUGGAUCGUAAUGAGCUUGCCCAAUUAAAUGCCUCUUCUCUGAUGUAAUAUAGAGUAAAGCCUUAGUUAAACAGCUGUAAUUAGUUAUUUAAAACAGUUUAAACAAUUAAACUGUUUAACAGUUAAGACUGUUUCAUAAAAACAGUUAUUCCAACUACUUGUAACUACUUACAAUUCAUCAAUAAAUAGCCAUUCUCCAGCUGAGAAUAGGCAGAGAAUUCAUUUUGAGAAAUAAUUCUACUUUGAUUUACAUCAUUCUCGGUGCUCUUUAUCGAAAGCUUUUCAAGUCUACUCUUUACAAGAGAUCUAUUUAAGCUGGUCGGCCUUCAUCUCCCCCUUCCAAAUGAUGACUCAUAUUGCAUAUCUGGGCUCAGCUUGUAUUCCUUUUCUUAGUAUUUUAGAUCAUUUUUUUGCUUUAGCAAGAAUUGUUUCUUUUGAUCUGCUUGUAGCAGUAAUCAUGAUGUACAUGCUUAUGUUAGCCUUUCUUAUGGACAAUAUGUUUUUGUGUUCUAAGUAUGUUUAGACAUGAAGGUGCCAAGGGAGUGUCAACCUAGUUGAGAUGUCCAAGUGUGCCUCUUGAUCCUUUGUUUUAUUUGCUCAUUGUAUAAUCCUCUUAUACAAUGAGCUUUUGUUUCAUUAUUAAUUAGUUAAUAGAAGAGACUGUUUCCUUUUCCAAGAGAAAAAAAAAAUGUUUGAC
rnacentral:lncRNA from 1 species